GAAAGGCAGCCGCACAAGGAGAAUGAUAAGAGCCAAGAGAAAAUAAAGAGAAGAGCAGCAGCCGCAAGUUUGGAGCAAAACCGAGAGCAGCAGGAAUAAUUUGGAGCAGGAGGAAGAUGCAUUAAUUCUUAAGUUUUUCUUUUCCUCUUCUCUAUUAUCCUGUUUGAAUGUUUUUAAUUAAAUUUAUGGAUUCUCUUUAUAUUCCCAUGAACUAAUUUAUUUUACUAGGGCUACGAUGUAGCCUAACUAUGAAGAUUUAAUUCCAUAAAUCUAUGUUAUUUUUAAUUAAUUAUUCUAUGAUUGAGUGUUCAUUAUUGUACUUAAUGCUUUUAAAUAUCUGGCCAAUAUUUGAAUGAUUUGAGGAUACAUAAUGAGACCGAGAAGAGAUUUAUGUAUUUUUGCUCUGUGCAAUGGAUACCAUGAAUUGAACGAAAGACAGAG
rnacentral:lncRNA from 1 species